AUAAAUUAAUCAACCUUCACUGCAGCACACUUUCAUUCCAGUUCAACAGUGCGAGGCUUCAAACGUUCAAAAUCUACUUUUGAAAAAUUUUCAGCCACGUGUAAAAAGAUGACAUCAACGCAAGUUCUCCUUGUUCUGUUUGUUUGUAUUAUUUUGGUGCAAGUUUCAUUCCAAGAAAAAGAAAACGAAAGUUUCGCGGAGAAAAAGAAAGCUUUACUCAAGUUUAUCGAAGGACUGGAAUCCUCUCUCCAGCACCAAGAACAAGAAAAACGAGAAAUGGAAGUAAAAAAGAAACGAGAAGAGGAAAUGAAAAGAAAAGUUGAAACUGAGCUCGACAAGCUAAAGCAGGAAGACGAAUUAAUGAAUUCCGACAAAGUCAUCGGCGACGUAGAAGGCGGCAAGAGAGCCUGCGGUAAUAGACUGUCAGCGGGGAAGUGUCAGUUGCUACGGUGGUUCGGGAAGGGCUGCACUGGCAAGAAAAUGAUGGUCAACUGCAGAGCUUCCUGUGGGCUAUGCUAAAACUUACUAGGUGAACUUCAAGACAUGAAAACAUUAUGAACUUAUUAUUUUGUUAAUUGUUGUUAAAAUAUCUAGACUUAUCCAGUAGAAAACAUAAUAAAAAAGCUCUAACAUUUUCACUACUUACAAAAAGAUGAAAAAAUUUAUUUGGUAUUUUUACAUGCCUGAAAUCGAGUCUAUGUGACUAACUACGCGAUCGAACCUCGUUUUGGUUUUCGAUUUAUUGUAUGUGUACAUCCGCUGACCUUUUUCUUGCUGGCGCAGCUAACCUUCUCUACCAAGUAAUACUGUUAUUGAAAAGUUUUUUCUAACCUCAUAGAUUUAUCUAAAUCUGAUCAAGCCAAUUAUUAUGUAAAUGUGGUGUGCAAAUGAAUAAAAAAUUCCAAAUGACAAUCCGA